rnacentral:tRNA from 4 species
AUUUUAAUAGCUUAUAUUUAAAGUAUAAUAUUGAAGAUAUUAUGAAGAUAAAAUUAUCUUAAAAUAU